UUGACCAGCCGAACGGCAAUUUCGUAUGGUUGUGCGAGCGACGAUUCGAGGAACCCGGUGAAAAUCCGGGACGGUCGCGCCACUGUGAGCGUUUCGCCGGGCGGAAUGUGAGUCAGAUACUCGGAUCGCGUGGUAACCACCAU
rnacentral:ncRNA from 2 species